ACUGCUCAGUAACACGUAUAGGAAUUGGCGGGGGAGCACGUACGGCUCAGUAACACGUAUAGGAAUUGGCGGGGGAGCACAUACUGCUCAGUAACACGUGGCUAACCUGCCCUUGGGAUCGGAACACCCCCGGGAAACUGGGGCUAAUUCUCAAUAGGCGAAGAACUCUGGAAUGAGUCUUCACCAAAAAGAAACCUAAGUUAUGCUCUUAGGUCUCGCCCAAGGAUGGGGCCGCGACCGAUCAGGUUGUUGGUGAGGUAAUGGCUCACCAAGCCUUUUACCGGUGCGGGCCGUGGGAGCGGGAGCCCGGAGAUGGGCACUGAGACAAGGGCCCAGGCCCUACGGGGCGCAGCAGUCGCGAAAACUUUGCAAUAAGCGAAAGCUUGACAGGGCUAUCCCGAGUGCCAUCCGCUGAGGAAGGCUUUUACCCAGUCUAGAACGCUGGGGGAAUAAGGAGAGGGCAAGUCUGGUGUCAGCCGCCGCGGUAAUACCAGCUCUCCGAGUGGUGUGGAUGUUUAUUGGGCCUAAAGCAUCCGUAGCUGGCUAAGUUAGUCCCCUGUUAAAUCCACCGAAUUAAUCGUUGGAUUGCGGGGGAUACUGCUUGGCUAGGGGACGAGAGAGGCAGACGGUAUUUUCGGGGUAGGGGUGAAAUCCUAUAAUCCCGGGAAGACCACCAGUGGCGAAGGCUGUCUGCUAGAACGCGCCCGACGGUGAGGGAUGAAAGCUGGGGGAGCGAACCGGAUUAGAUACCCGGGUAGUCCCAGCUGUAAACGAUGCAGGCUAGGUGUUUGGACGGCCACGUGCCGUUCUAGUGCCGCAGGGAAGCUGUUAAGCCUGCCGCCUGGGGAGUACGAUCGCAAGAUUGAAACUUAAAGGAAUUGGCGGGGGAGCAC
rnacentral:rRNA from 1 species